GAUGAACGCUGGCGGCGUGCCUAAUACAUGCAAGUCGAGCGAACAGACGAGGAGCUUGCUCCUCUGACGUUAGCGGCGGACGGGUGAGUAACACGUGGAUAACCUACCUAUAAGACUGGGAUAACUUCGGGAAACCGGAGCUAAUACCGGAUAAUAUAUUGAACCGCAUGGUUCAAUAGUGAAAGACGGUUUUGCUGUCACUUAUAGAUGGAUCCGCGCCGCAUUAGCUAGUUGGUAAGGUAACGGCUUACCAAGGCAACGAUGCGUAGCCGACCUGAGAGGGUGAUCAGCCAGACUGGAACUGAGACACGGUCCAGACUCCUACGAGAGGCAGCAGUAGGGAAUCUUCCGCAAUGGGCGAAAGCCUGACGGAGCAACGCCGCGUGAGUGAUGAAGGUCUUCGGAUCGUAAAACUCUGUUAUUAGGGAAGAACAAAUGUGUAAGUAACUAUGCACGUCUUGACGGUACCUAAUCAGAAAGCCACGGCUAACUACGUG
rnacentral:rRNA from 1 species